rnacentral:rRNA from 1 species
UUCUACAGCCAUAUCCUGAAUAUGCCCGAUCUCAUCUGAUCUAGGAAGCUAUGCAGGGUUGAGCCUGGUUAGUACUUGGGUGGGAGAAGAAAUAAAAGACUUAAGUGAGGAAUAGAAGAACCGAGGCAAAGUAAAAA